AACGAACGCUAGCGGCAGGCCUAACACAUGCAAGUCGAGCGAGGACUUCGGUCCUAGCGGCGGACGGGUGAGUAACGCGUGGGAACGUGCCCUUUGCUUCGGAAUAGCCCUGGGAAACUGGGAGUAAUACCGGAUGAGCCCUUUGGGGGAAAGAUUUAUCGGCGAAGGAUCGGCCCGCGUUGGAUUAGGUAGUUGGUGGGGUAAUGGCCUACCAAGCCGACGAUCCAUAGCUGGUUUGAGAGGAUGAUCAGCCACACUGGGACUGAGACACGGCCCAGACUCCUACGGGAGGCAGCAGUGGGGAAUCUUAGACAAUGGGGGAAACCCUGAUCUAGCCAUGCCGCGUGAGCGAUGAAGGCCUUAGGGUUGUAAAGCUCUUUCAGCUGGGAAGAUAAUGACGGUACCAGCAGAAGAAGCCCCGGCUAACUCCGUG
rnacentral:rRNA from 1 species